UCCUUUGGGCUCCAUCUUUUUCCGGAUUUACUGGGUGUAAAGGGUGCGUAGGCGGCUUUGCAAGUCAGAUGUGAAAUCUAUGGGCUCAACCCAUAAACUGCAUUUGAAACUGUAGAGCUUGAGUGAAGUAGAGGCAGGCGGAAUUCCCCGUGUAGCGGUGAAAUGCGUAGAGAUGGGGAGGAACACCAGUGGCGAAGGCGGCCUGCUGGGCUUUAACUGACGCUGAGGCACGAAAGCGUGGGUAGCAAACAGG
rnacentral:rRNA from 1 species